rnacentral:misc_RNA from 1 species
AAGAGUAAUACGCAGCCGGGUUUGCCUAGCUGUCGUCACACUCCACCCUUUGUUUACAUUACCUUUGUUGCUUUGGCAGGCCCGCUCUCGGGCCACCGGCUUUGGCUGGUCAGUGUCUGCCAGAGAACCUAAAACUCAUGUUAAUAUUAUUGUCUGAGUACUAUAUAAUAGUUA